rnacentral:sRNA from 1 species
CCCAACCGGAUCCUGGACAGGCACCCCGGCUCGGCGCUGUCUCUCCCCCUUGGCUCGGAGAGGCCCUUCGGCCUGAGGGAGCCCCGCCGCCCGUCCCCGGCGCACGCGCAGCCCCGGCCUCUCGGCCUCUGCCGGAGAAACAGGUGAAGGGGGUGCAGGGUGGGGCCGUCGGGGAGGCCUGGGGACCCGGGGGCUCCGCAGCGGCAGGGGGCCUCUGGGACCUUGGGGAUGUUGUGAUGGACGCUGCAGUGGGGCGGGGAGAGAUGAAGAGACGCGGAGAGUCGCCCUGAGGGAAGACUCUUCGGGGUGACAGGAGCGGGCCUCGGAAGGGACUCGGGGCGCUGGAGGGAAGUUUCGUUCUUCGGAGAAACAGUGAGAACGCGCUCGAGGGGGCACCGUGGGGCGAGGGCGCACUCGGUUGCGGCGGCAGGAGUGAGGGACAGUCCCCCGAUUUCCUGCUCCCUGGGGCCCUGGGGACGUUCCGGCCACCGGAGCGACUGUCACGCCGACGGGGAUCACCGGCGCGAGUGGGGGGUCGGAAAGCGCCUCCUCCCCGCCUGGCCGGCGGCUCCCGCUGAGCCACUUCCUCCGCUUGCCCUGUUCCCGCUCCUUCAGGAGCCAGCUGUGCCCUUCUGGAGGCAGGAAUAGGUGUGUCUGUCCCCUGCAGCCUUACGGGCUGGCUGGUCGUGGGUAGGCUUUAUUGCAUAAGAAUCAAGUUUCCUGUAGGGAAAUUGACAGACCGGUACUCUUUCUAAAUUCCCUCCCAUCUUUUUCUAGGUUAAACUAUGCUCCCCCCAGGUCCCCGCCUUGUAAAAAAGAGAGAGAAAAAAAGACAAAAUAAAAUCCCCAUCAACCCGUCAAGCCAGCUCUAGAGAGAGAAAUAAACCUCUUGACAUUGUCCUUUUCCAAAUACCUGGUAAAGUCGGCCAGAAGAUAAAUAAUUGAGCCAUUGCAUUUACUGGAUUGUGGUGUUGCUUAAUUGCAUAGGACAGAAUGAACCAAUCGAGAGGGGGAGUUUUCUGUCUCAGAGCCAAGAUCUUGGGUAAAUGCAGAGGAGAAGGAAACAAAGACAGGCUGGCCUUGAAAAAACCAUGUGUGCAAACUUUACCUGCAUUUGGGGGGUGUGGUUGCACUGAAGUUAACAAGAUUCAAACUGUCGCCCAAGUUGGUAUUUCCAUGUUUGGUACACAUCACUCUGUGCCAUAUCAGGUUGUUGUUAAGUGUGGUGACAAAAUCAGUAGUUAGUCAUUUUUUUUUAAUUAAAAAUGUGUAUAGUGUGUACCUGCUGCUCUUACUGUAUGUGCAACUAAAGGUUUACAUAGUCUGUGUAUGGGUUGUAAAUUUUUGGCUGGCUGUGCUGAUAAAGCAUUGGGCUUGAAUAAAGCAAAGCAGAAAAUCAUCUCAGUCUUUUAUAUGUGGAUUUAGACUGUGUUAUGACUUGGUUCAGCCAGUUUUCUAUUUUAUUUUAUAUUAAAUAUGUCUGUGUUCUCUGA